AACGCACAUUGCGCCCUUUGGUAUUCCGAAGGGCAUGCCUGUUCGAGCGUCAUUAUCACCCUUCAAGCCCGGCUUGUUCUUGGGUCCCUGUAUCGUUCCAGAGGACGAUAGGCCCGAAAGGUAAUGGCGGUGUCAAGAUUAGACCCCCCGGUGCAGCGAGCUUUGUUCAAGCAUACACUGAGGUGGGCGUUUUGGCCCGGUCUUAACCAUCUCUAUUUCUUAUGGUUGACCUCGGAUCAGGUAGGAUUACCCGCUGAACUUAA
rnacentral:misc_RNA from 1 species